GACAGAGGGUGCAAACGUUGUUCGGAAUUACUGGGCGUAAAGCGCGUGUAGGCGGCUAAGUAAGUCGGGCGUGAAAUCCCACGGCUCAACCGUGGAAGUGCACUCGAAACUGCAUAGCUAGAGUCCUGGAGAGGAAGGUGGAAUGCUUGGUGUAGAGGUGAAAUUCGUAGAUAUUCGCAAGAACACCAGUGGCGAAGGCGGCUCGCUGGCCCGAUACUGACGCUGAGGCACGAAAGCGUGGGGAGCAAACAGG
rnacentral:rRNA from 1 species